GGGAGUUUGAAUGUGUGUGGGCUGGUCUUUCCACACACGUCGCUUCUCAAAGCGUCCUCGGACAGAGCCAGAAACGAUAAGCUCGCGACGCGGACAGAGAAGCCACGCUCACUUUUGAUGCUUCCAAGGGUGCCUGUCCUCUGACCUACAGCUUUUCAAGAUCUGCUCUGCAAGGACGUCUUCAACCCCCGUCAUCCUGGUGGAUUAGAGCAGGUCACCCCAGACAGUGAUAAUGACUCCAGAAGACGUCUGUCAGAGGAAGAAGUCUAUGAAGUCUACAACCAGAUUUAACUUAGUGCUGGACCUUGUA